AGAGGUAAUUUAUGAUCUCAAUUGCUUACUGUCUUACUACUCCUCUUAAUUUAAUGUCAUUUUAUUUUAAUGUCAUCUUAUCUAAUUUAUUACAUUUACACAUUAUGUAAUGUGAUUCUUUAUUUUGCAAAUUUUAUUAUUCUAAGUUUAGUACUGUAAUUUCCUAUAUUUUUUUAUGGUCACUGAACGUCACAUGUCCCAGCAGACUUCCUGGCAGUAGCCCGUAUGUGUCGUCAGUCUGCUCUCUUCCAUGUGACGGUUGGUUGCCCGUGUAUUAGCUUGAUAGCUUUCAGCUAACUUAUUAGCAGGCUAGCUGUGUUGCUGUAGGCAUAAAGGAGACACAUAAUAAACCAUGUUUGAACUGGAAGAAAAACUGGGUGUCGUCUUUUGGGGAAAACACAACGCAAAGGAGUACUACAUCGCUACAUGUGCAUGAAUCCACAAAGUUUCACAAAUUCCUCACUUAAUUCACCAAACUGUCCCCGUGGAAUUAUUGGGUCUGUUUAGCUGAUUGGAGAGCUAGCUUCCGCAGCUUGUGGGUCGAUUAGGAUCGUCCAUUUCACUGCCGUAUUACAGACACCAUUUGGAAACAAUUAAGCUAUCAGGCAGAAAUACACCAACAGUGCCAACAAACAUACAACGAUGAACCAGGGCUGGCCAACGGACAAGGCUGGAUAAUACAUUCUCCUAAUUGGCAAUCAGGGACUAGUGAGGACACCGGGGUUCCUAAUAGAGCCCGCUAACAGCCAAGGACUUCAACGACCUCAACGAAGAUAAGAUGACAGCACGCAGACGAAGCAGAGACUUCAAGGACCUCAACGAAGAUAAGAUGACAACACGCAGACGAAGCGGGGACAAGAUAAUAGGCGGAGAAAGGCCUGAAGAGAGAAGUGCUCUCCACGCUGCGAGUGAGCUGUGGUUGCUGCUCGUUCAGUGAGAUGACUGUGGAUGCCAGAGUGGGAACUUUGAUCUCGGUAAAAAGAAGCCGGGGAGAGAGCGUGCAGACACAGAUAUUUCCAGUGUUUGGACCACCCCAUUAAAAGAGGGUCAUAUAUUAUUUACAAAUUAUAUCAGCAAUGAAAAAUAAAAUGAC